AGCAAAAGGUAGAAAUUUCUUCUCAGCGGUUGAGGGUACAUUACUAAGUGGUCACCCACAUGCAGCUAGUAGACCAUGGGAACCAUAGAAAGAUUCAUUACAUAACCAGUACCAAAGGAAGUCACAUGAGGAUCUCAACACAACUUCAGACAAUCAGAUACAAAUGCAAGGGCUACAGAAUUUACUAGUCACAGCUUAUCAUAAGUUCAUGUGUUGCCUCAAAAAGUUCUUCACUAAAUUAGGAGCUAGCUCAAAAACAAACGUGUUCUGCAUUUCUUCAACAGGAGAUAUAUGAAACCAGAAUUGGAAGUCGAGUGGUAGAAUUACUACUUCACAGCACCUUGCGAUAUGUUACCCAGAACAUCAUGAACUCUUUUGUCAUCUUGCGUUUCUUCAACGGGUGCUUUAUGAACUCAGGAAGGAACUUGGGUAACUGGGUUGCAGCAUGCAGUUUAGUUUCAUCAGUCUUAAUCGCACUCUGAAUGCCACCUGAUAGCUGGACAUGAGUCAAAUUACCAGUCAGAAAAACACAGCAGAACUAAUAAUAAAAUACAUUCAUUUAUACUCAGAGAGAGAAUACAAACCUUAGUGUAGCAGUAGCCAUGGAAACAUAACUGGCGCAAGAAUCUAUGAUUUUGNAUGUGAGCCACGCAAUCUUAUCAACCUUUGUACAAGCUGUGCAACAAAAACAACAAAGAGUAGGCAUCAUAUACACUUCAUUGUGUCACUUUGGAUCAUUAUUUCAUUAGUUGUGUCACUUUGGAUCAUUAUUUCAUUGGUUUGACCUGUUAUGGUUUAUAUGUAGAAUGCAUGCAACACUUUCUGAUGCCGCUCGAAAGGUCAUGUUUGAAUAUUUCAACAAGAAUAGUUAUGCAGUGAGGUUUCAUGAUGAGGAAAAUAUGUAUUUGAGUGUGUUGCACAAUUUCAAGUUGCUGUUUAUAAAUCUUUCAAAAAGGUAUUAUUAUUACUAAUAGUUGUAUUGAAUAUAUUACAGAAAUUAUUAACUUUAAAUUACAUUGCCUUUACAGGGAUUAUUAAAACUUAAAAUCACAUUGCCUUCACGACAAUCCAAACAGGACCUAAUGCACUGCUCUCUUUUUUUUGUGAUAAACUGAGGUUCUCCCCUGCCUCAUCAUUUUAUAAACGAAGCAAGACAGACAAAAUACAUAUCAGUUGAUCUAAAACUAAAAAAACAGAUUGACCUAGGUGACAUCAAACUUUCCUAAGCUAUAGAUAACAUAUCUAAGAAAUACAUAUCUUAUCCGAUUGGCAUACCUUUAAUAUAUACAAUGUUUUUUUACUCUGUAAAUCUAAGAAUACAUAUCUUAUCCGUUUGAUUUCUUAUUUACAGAAUAUUGUCACUGCAAUCUUUGAUUGCGAAUCUUCGUGGGAUUGAACUGAGGUCCUUGUUCAAUGAACAUGGUUACAAACGAAGGGUUGUAGAUAUGAAUGAGCCGGAGCGACAAUUGCUGGUUGUAUGCUUCAGGAAACUUCUUCAUGAGCAUCGCUGGAAGAAUGCUUGGAAUGGCCAGUGGAGUAUUGAUGAUUGCGAUUGUAUUGAUGAAGAUAUCAUUACUUUUAAGAUCACCUCCAAUAUGUAUGAAAACCCUGAAGAGCUUAUGACUGCUUAUAAAGCAGAUCUGAAGGCAUUUGCUAACCAAAUUAUCAAUAAAUUCAGAAUCAAUGGUUUCUACCCUGCAUACCUGAAACACUUUUUCGAUAAGCUGAAUAAUGAAACAGUGACCUGAGCUUAUUUUGUUGGUUAUGGGUAGUACAUGGAGUAUUUAGAAUACCAUCCUUCCAUGCUGGAUGUAACGGCUCAACUUGAUCUAAUAGAGGGAUGGUAUAUUUGCAUUUAUGAGAUUGGUUACGAGGAUUUGCAAAAAUUUUGAUAUCAUCCGUGAAUCUUUAGAUUGAAGCAGGUAUUAUCAUCACACGCCCAAAUCAAAGGUUGACGGAUGAUACCAAAUUCUUCCAAAUCCUCAUAACCAAUUUCAUGAAUGCAAAUAUACCAUCCCUCUAUUAGGCCAAGUCGAGCCGCUACAUCCAAUAUGGAAGAGUGAUAUUCUAAGCACUCCAUGUACCACACAUAACCAGCAAAAUAAGCCCAGGAAAGCUGAUCCUCCUUAUUGCCAAAGUAGUCUUGGUGCGUCAUUAUCGCUGCUUCACUAUUCAGCUCAUCGAAAAAUGUUUCAGAUAUGCAUGAUAGAAACCAUUGAUUCUGAAUUUAUUGACAAUUUGGUUAGCAAAAACCUUCAAAUUUGAUUUAUAAACAGUCAUAAGCUUUUCAGGGAUUUCAUACAUAUUGAAGGUGACCUCAAAAGUAAUGAUAUCUUCAUCAAUAUAAUCCCAAUCAUCAAUACUUCAUUGGUCAUUCCAAGCAUACUUACAGUGAUGCUCAUGAAGAAGUUUCUGAAGCAUACAACCAGCAAUUGUCGCUCCGACUCAUUCAUAUCUACAACCCUUCGUUUGUAACCAUGCUCAUUGAACAAAGACCUCAGUUCACUACCACAAAGAUUCACAAUCAAAGAUUGCAGUGACGAUAUCCUGUAAAUAAGAAUUCAAGCGGAUAAAAUUUGUAUUACUUAGAUUUACAGAGUAAAAAAGCAGUAUAUUCUAAUAAAGAUAUGCCAAUCGGAUAAGAUAUGUAUUCCUUAGAUAUGUUAUCUCUAGCUUAGGAGAGUUUAAUCUCACCUAGAUCAAUCUAUUUUUCUAGUUUUAAAUCAACAAAUAUGUACUUUGUCUGUUUUGCUUUAUUUAUAAAAUGAUGAGGCAGACGAGAACCCCCAGUUUAUCAUAAAAAACAAACAAACAGUGCAUUAGAUCCUGUUUGGAUUGUCGUAAAGGCGAUGUGAUUUUAAGUUUUAAUAAUUCCUAUAAAGACAAUGUAAUUUAAAGUUAAUAAUUCCUAUAAUAUAUUCAAUACAGCUAUUAGUAAUAAUAAUACCUCUUUAAAAGAUUUAUAAACAACAACUUAAAAUUAUGCAACACACUCAAAUAUAUAUGUUCCUCAUCAUGAAACCUCACUGCAUAACUCUUCUCCUUGAAAUAUUCAAACAUGACAUCUCAAGCGGCAUCAGAAAGUGUUGCAUGCAUUCUAGAUAUAAUGACAAGUCAAACCAAUGAAAUAAUGAUCCAAAAUAACACAAUGAAGCGUAUAUGAUGCCUACUCUUUGUUGUUUUCGUUGCACACCUUGUAUGCAACUUCUCUGUUAAGUUUCCGAAGAACGACAAAGUUAAUAUUCAGAUUAAAAUCAUUGUUCUCCCAGAUGUCAUCAAGCAAGGAAUAACCAUCACUGCAACAAAAAUAACAAAACAACAGUUAGCAAUAGCAUCCCUUAAUAAAUAAUGAUGGGUCAAUGAGAGAGUUCAAAAUCAAUGUACCCUUCUAAAUAAUUUUUGACAAGAGAAACAACUUCUUGAAAUCGAUUCGCUCUUUGACCGUCUGCUCCCCGUUGCAGUUUUGAAUGAAUGUGUGGAUGGGGAGAACGAAGACGAGCCGCUGCGAGGGGGCGACUUCUUCUCCCUCAGCCUACAUUUCUUAGAGGACGAGACAGGUCUGACAUUUCCAGAGGCACUUCCUUGUAGGGGUGACUUGGUGGCAGUUCCAACAGAAGUCA
rnacentral:lncRNA from 1 species